ensembl:snoRNA Gm23181 predicted gene, 23181
CCUAUUGCAAAUGUGUCCAUGUGCAUCAGUAGAUGGCAGCGAGAAGAGUGUUUAUAUCUAUGCUCAAUGCUUUGACCUAUGAACAUCUGAAUGAUUAGUAGCUUAACAUU